GGCCUAGUGGUCUAGUGGUAUGAUUCUCGCUUUGGGUGCGAGAGGUCGAUCACCGGCUGGGCCC
rnacentral:tRNA from 1 species